CGAAACUGAGCAAAUCAAGUUAAAAUCAAGCUGACCGCCAUGUCGUUAAACUGAGCAACUCAACUUCAAGCCGACUGCCAUAUCAUUAAAUUAAGCAUCUCAAUUUCAAUCCGACUGCCAAGUUGCUAAACUGCACAAAUCAAGUUCAGACCGCUAAGUUGCUAAACUGAGCAAACCAAGUCCAAAUCAAUCGACCACCAAGUCGUUAAAAUGAACAAAUCAAGUUCAAAUCAAUUGACCGCCAAAUCGU
rnacentral:lncRNA from 1 species